rnacentral:lncRNA from 1 species
CACGUUCCUUGACCUAUUUGAUACCACAUAUCCUCGGAGGAUUCCACAACUAAGGGGGAGAAUAUAUUUAGGGGGAGAAUAUAUGAAAGGGGGAAGAAAAAGUAAGUUAGCUUUCUUCUAUUGUCUACAACUAAGGGGGAUACGGAGGAGGAGAUUCAUCUUUCAACUAAGGAGGAGGAUUGAUCUUUCAUCUAAGGGGAGAUAGCUACUUAUCACCAAGGGGUACUUGAUCAAGGUAAUGGGAGGAGAAGUAAUAACAACUCAUGUACACCUCACCACUGUGUUGUAUCUUUAUUCAGGUGGUACGUGGUAUGAUUCCUAAGAAACAGUGGCAUUGGUUCACCAC